rnacentral:lncRNA from 1 species
AUCACUUAUGGGGUGCUAUAGAUGGUCUCGAGAAGGUUCUUUUUUAUUUUUACCAGGAUGAUCAUUGGCGAGUUGGAUUCUAUAGUAAUGGCAGUGGAUGCUUUUCAAGACCCCAGCUCCAAUGCGAAGGUCAGAGCGAGCACAUACUACAAAGAAGAGGACGAUUCCCGCACUUCAGUCGAUCGAUCAGAAAGACAAAAAAAGUCUACUAAAGUGCCCCAUUUCAUGAUUCUUUCUAGUAAUUGAAAGGCAUUCCGUCUCUGAUAGCACGAUGGGACUCAUCUGGUAUUUAGCAAUUCCGCCUGCCCAAUCUAGCAACUUAGGUAGACAACCGAGGCAACAAAUACUAUGAUUUUACUUUGGAAUUGACCCCACUUAGGAAGGAAAUAAGACCAAAAUGGUUGUUUCAAAAGAGAGGAUGACCUUGUUGCGUUCCCCUCCCGGCUUUCACUGAAAAUAUCCCCUCAAUAGAUAGAUUCAGGUGCAUGUGGAAUCAAUAGAUGAAUUCUCAUCCCCUGCGGCUCUGAUAGCACCCUAAGAUUUCAGAUCAGGCCGAGGAAUGUGUUGUUGAGUUGACUCAAAAGAAAGCAUGGAUCGCACACGUGUACUUUAGGGACGGUUAGCUUUCAACUAAAUUCUGUUGCAGCGAGAUAACCCAAAAUGUAUGGCAUUCAAUAUCCCUUCCGGGAACCCACCAAAGAAGUAAAUUGGUAUCAAAGAUCUCAACCAAGAAAGCUGCACAUCCUCUUCCUUUAGUGGUUUGCUUUUACUAGCAAGUCCAGAGCUUGCUUGCGUGAAAGAGAUUUUGAAUCCCACCUAAGAACCUAUACAUAGAGUCGCAGAGAAAGGAGGCGCAUAAAAUGGGUACCACCUCUUCCCUAAAAGCCUAUCUAAGAUGCGUGCACAGGUCUCUCCUAUUCCACUAUCUCCUAUUUGUUUGAUAAGAACCCAACCCGGCUGGAUCAGAUAGUUCUAUCCAAAGGGGAUCCGCUAUUAAUAAUUCUUUUGCUACACCUCUUUCUGGCCCUUUCGGAGAUUCUAGCGAUACUGAUUCCAUUUCCUCUUUCUGUAUAGGCUCAGCUCUCUUUCCUCCUCCUUGUGCUGAUCAUUACUAAGUUGCAAUUUUCGAUUUGGCCAUUGAAAAUCAAAAAUUCACUCCCAAGCUAG